CGAUCCCAAGGGAGCUGGUGGCAUUUCUAAACUCCCACAAUAUAGAGGCAAAAAUGACUGAUGACAUUCAGAAGCUCUUACAACGCCGAUAUUGGAAAACAGAACCCAAAUAACGCAACAGCAGCAGCUGUGCCAGGAAGAGCAGGCCUGGGAGCCUUCGCAGCCAAGAAGCCUGCGAAAAAAAGUUCAAAGGCUCAAGUUGCAAAUUAACAGCUGCUUCCCUGGAAACGAAAGGCCAGCCAUGACACACACACAAGAUCUGCAAUGCAAACAUGUCCAGAGGGAGGAGGAGGGAAGUGGGUUGCAAGGUCAACAGCUGACAACUGCAGCAGAGUCAAGCAUCCUGCUAAUUGGCCUACAAACUUGUAACUCUGCUAAUUGAAUGCCACAGGCUGGUGGCAGCGAA